rnacentral:rRNA from 1 species
AUGCUGGUUAAACUACUUACUGUGAGAGUGACAUGCCAAAGUGGGCAAACUGCCUUGUGUCAGGUUCCAAGGAAUAUGCAGAAUACAGUUCACGCACAUUGCGCGUAUAUGCAGAAUCACUGGUUUUUUCAGUGCACAUUACAGAGUAAGACAACGUUGAUGAUUCAACAAGAAAAUAAUGGUGUUUUCUUUGCAUACAAUAGACAACUUCAAUGUUACAAAUACAAGGCAUUUCAGUCCAUAGGCUUCGGAGUUCAGACCAUCACCCACGAGAACACAUGCAAAGUGUUUCCAUUUUCGUUGCAGAUCUCGGUUAAUUCUCCACAUGACACAGAUGCAACCUGCGCACACAAAAAGAAAGGCAAAAAUUCAGAUACAAAGAGUACUUUUCUUCUCUUACUCCUUGUAUGCUUUGCAAUCUUCAAGACCAUUGCUCUCUGCUGGUCCAUGUGA